AACGAACGCUGGCGGCAUGCCUAAUACAUGCAAGUCGAACGAGAUCUUCGGAUCUAGUGGCGCACGGGUGCGUAACGCGUGGGAAUCUGCCCUGGGGUUCGGAAUAACAGCUGGAAACGGCUGCUAAUACUGGAUGAUGACGUAAGUCCAAAGAUUUAUCGCCCAAGGAUGAGCCCGCGUAGGAUUAGCUAGUUGGUGGGGUAAAGGCCUACCAAGGCGACGAUCCUUAGCUGGUCUGAGAGGAUGAUCAGCCACACUGGGACUGAGACACGGCCCAGACUCCUCCGGGAGGCAGCAGUAGGGAAUAUUGGACAAUGGGGGCAACCCUGAUCCAGCAAUGCCGCGUGAGUGAUGAAGGCCUUAGGGUUGUAAAGCUCUUUUACCCGAGAUGAUAAUGACAGUAUCGGGAGAAUAAGCUCCGGCUAACUCCGUGCCAGCCGCCGCAGUAAGAC
rnacentral:rRNA from 1 species